AANNAUCNAAGNGAAAAACAANNCGCGUUUUUNGGAAAAAAGAANUGGGUACUAUUCCCAUACCGUGUCUACUUACCUUUGUUGCUUUGGCGGGCCGCCUUCGGGCGUCGUNGGNNUGGCUCCGGCUGACAGCGCCCGCCAGAGGACCCAAACCCGUCUGUUUAGUGAUGUCUGAGUACUAUAUAAUAGUUAAAACUUUCAACAACGGAUCUCUUGGUUCUGGCAUCGAUGAAGAACGCAGCGAAAUGCGAUAAGUAAUGUGAAUUGCAGAAUUCAGUGAAUCAUCGAAUCUUUGAACGCACAUUGCGCCCCUUGGUAUUCCGAGGGGCAUGCCUGUUCGAGCGUCAUUAUGACCACUCAAGCCUAGCUUGGUAUUGGGGCCCGCGGUCUCGCGGCCCCUAAAAUCAGUGGCGGUGCCGUCUGGCUCUAAGCGUAGUAAUUCUCUCGCUACAGUAUCCAGGUGGUAGCUUGCCAACAACCCCAACUCUCACGGUUGACCUCGGAUCAGGUAGGGAUACCCGCUGAACUUAA
rnacentral:rRNA from 1 species